rnacentral:rRNA from 2 species
UUUAUUGGAGAGUUUGAUCCUGGCUCAGGAUGAACGCUGGCGGCGUGCCUAAUACAUGCAAGUCGAGCGAAUGGAUUAAGAGCUUGCUCUUAUGAAGUUAGCGGCGGACGGGUGAGUAACACGUGGGUAACCUG